rnacentral:rRNA from 2 species
AUUGAACGCUGGCGGCAGGCCUAACACAUGCAAGUCGAGCGGAUGAGAAGAGCUUGCUCUUCGAUUCAGCGGCGGACGGGUGAGUAAUACCUAGGAAUCUGCCUGGUAGUGGGGGACAACGUUUCGAAAGGAACGCUAAUACCGCAUACGUCCUACGGGAGAAAGCAGGGGACCUUCGGGCCUUGCGCUAUCAGAUGAGCCUAGGUCGGAUUAGCUAGUUGGUGAGGUAAUGGCUCACCAAGGCUACGAUCCGUAACUGGUCUGAGAGGAUGAUCAGUCACACUGGAACUGAGACACGGUCCAGACUCCUACGGGAGGCAGCAGUGGGGAAUAUUGGACAGUGGGCGAAAGCCUGAUCCAGCCAUGCCGCGUGUGUGAAGAAGGUUCUUCGGAUUGUAAAAGCCACUUUAAA